UCUCCUGGAAACGGGUGGUAAUGCCGGAUGCUCCGCCCCCUCGCAUGGGGGGUCGGGAAGGCUUUUGCGGAAUGGGAUGGGGUCGCGUCCUAUCAGCUUGUUGGCGGGGCGACGGCCCACCAAGGCUUCGACGGGUAGCCGGCCUGAGAGGGCGACCGGCCACAUUGGGACUGAGAUACGGCCCAGACUCCUACGGGAGGCAGCAGUGGGGAAUAUUGCACAAUGGGGGGAACCCUGAUGCAGCGACGCCGCGUGCGGGAUGGAGGCCUUCGGGUCGUGAACCGCUUUUGAUUGGGAGCAAGCGUGAGUGAGUGUACCUUUCGAAUAAGCACCGGCUAACUACGUGCCAGCAGCCGCGGUAAUACGUAGGGUGCAAGCGUUGUCCGGAAUCAUUGGGCGUAAAGGGCUCGUAGGCGGUUCGUCGCGUCCGGUGUGAAAGCCCAUCGCUUAACGGUGGGUCUGCGCCGGGUACGGGCGGGCUUGAGUGCGGCAGGGGAGGCUGGAAUUCCCGGUGUAACGGUGGAAUUGUGUAAAAUAUCGGGAAGAACACCCA
rnacentral:rRNA from 1 species